rnacentral:rRNA from 1 species
GAUGAACGCUGGCGGCGUGCCUAAUACAUGCAAGUCGAGCGAACAGACGAGGAGCUUGCUCCUCUGACGUUAGCGGCGGACGGGUGAGUAACACGUGGAUAACCUACCUAUAAGACUGGGAUAACUUCGGGAAACCGGAGCUAAUACCGGAUAAUAUAUUGAACCGCAUGGUUCAAUAGUGAAAGACGGUUUUGCUGUCACUUAUAGAUGGAUCCGCGCCGCAUUAGCUAGUUGGUAAGGUAACGGCUUACCAAGGCAACGAUGCGUAGCCGACCUGAGAGGGUGCUCGGCCACACUGGAACUGAGACACGGUCCAGACUCCUACGGGAGGCAGCAGUAGGGAAUCUGCCGCAAGGGGCGAAAGCCUGACGGAGCAACGCCGCGUGAGUGAUGAAGGUCUUCGGAGCGUAAAACUCUGUUAUGAGGGAAGAACAAAUGUGUAAGUAACUAUGCACGUCUUGACGGUACCUAAUCAGAAAGCCACGGCUAACUACGU